rnacentral:tRNA from 1 species
GGGUGUGUAGCUCAGUGGAAAGCACUUGCCUGUGCCUAGCAUGUGCGAGGCCCUGGGUUCCAACCCCAGCACCACCA